GAUGGGCAUGCGGCGCAUUAGCUAGACGGCGGGGUAACGGCCCACCGUGGCGACGAUGCGUAGGGGUUCUGAGAGGAAGGUCCCCCACACUGGUACUGAGACACGGACCAGACUCCUACGGGAGGCAGCAGUGAGGAAUAUUGGUCAAUGGGAGAGAUCCUGAACCAGCCAAGCCGCGUGAGGGAAGACGGCCCUAUGGGUUGUAAACCUCUUUUGUCGGAGAACAAAACCCGGGACGAGUCCCGGACUGCGUGUAUCCGAAGAAAAAGCAUCGGCUAACUCCGUGCCAGCAGCCGCGGUAAUACGGAGGAUGCGAGCGUUAUCCGGAUUUAUUGGGUUUAAAGGGUGCGUAGGCGGUCCGUUAAGUCAGCGGUAAAAUUGCGGGGCUCAACCCCGUCGAGCCGUUGAAACUGUCAGACUUGAGUUGGCGAGAAGUACGCGGAAUGCGCGGUGUAGCGGUGAAAUGCAUAGAUACCGCGCAGAACUCCGAUUGCGAAGGCAGCGUACCGGCGCCAGACUGACGCUGAGGCACGAAAGCGUGGGGAUCGAACAGGAUUAGAUACCCUGGUAGUCCACGCAGUAAACGAUGAAUGCUGGUUGUCCGGGUCGAAUGAGAUCUGG
rnacentral:rRNA from 1 species